GAUGAACGCUGGCGGCGUGCCUAAUACAUGCAAGUCGAGCGAACAGACGAGGAGCUUGCUCCUCUGACGUUAGCGGCGGACGGGUGAGUAACACGUGGAUAACCUACCUAUAAGACUGGGAUAACUUCGGGAAACCGGAGCUAAUACCGGAUAAUAUAUUGAACCGCAUGGUUCAAUAGUGAAAGACGGUUUUGCUGUCACUUAUAGAUGGAUCCGCGCCGCAUUAGCUAGUUGGUAAGGUAACGGCUUACCAAGGCAACGAUGCGUAGCCGACCUGAGAGGGUGGUCGGCCACAAUGGAACUGAGACACGGUCCAGACUCCUACGGGAGGCAGCAGUAGGGAAUCUUCCGCAAUGGGCGAAAGCCUGACGGAGCAACGCCGCGUGAGUGAUGAAGGUCUUCGGAUCGUAAAACUCUGUUAUUAGGGAAGAACAAAUGUGUAAGUAACUAUGCACGUCUUGACGGUACCUAAUCAGAAAGCCACGGCUAACUACGUG
rnacentral:rRNA from 1 species